rnacentral:tRNA from 1 species
GGCCCCAUAGUCUAACGGACAGGACACCGGGCUCUCAAUCCGGAGAUAGGGGUUCAACUCCCCUUGGGGCCA